AAUAAGCGGAGUGACAUUACUGUGGGGAUGUCGAUCAGGACCUCAUAGCCACUGACUUCCACUUUGGCGCGGUGGGGUUGUGGAGUUCCCCAGCUCUCUCGCUUCUUUUCCUAACAUUCCCCCCCGUGCAGGCGCUUCUUAUUUUGUCAGCUUGUAGCUCUAUUUUACGCUUAUUUUUUGUCAGCCGUAUCCUACUUUUAUUAGGAUAUAAAAUCUGCUCCGGUCAUGAAGGGCGUUCUCGACCCCUGCCGAGGUUAUGACGGGGAAUUGAAUUUGGCAUUGUCGCAAUCCUGCGGAUGAACCAAGCCCCGAUGCCUCACCGUCUCGAGCCUGCGCCGUAAGGAUGGGGUAGUUCACCAUCGCCUCCGAUCAUCGUCUACUCUUUUGCGGGCUCGGCGCGCUCGCUUCCAGCAGCUCACUUCCGCUGCCGUCCCCCGCCUCUACGUUCGCUCGACCUGGUUGACUCUUUCUUAAGUUUUAUCUCCAAGGCAACCCAGGGCGGGUCUCUUGUUCUCGCUGCAUGUGUAGGGUGGUGCGUGAGGGAUUUAGCACUUCGACAUCGCACUCUUGAAUUUUUUCCGAUUCCGUCAAUCUUCCGCUGGUGAUCCGAGUGGCUGUCACACUGGAGCAAGUUUUGCAAAUGAAGAGAGUUCUCUAUCCUCAGAAGGACUCUCACAGCAGCAUGAUUUGCCAUCAUAGCUACAACUGUAACGUUAUCAUUGAUAAGUUGUGAAGAAGUACUUCAGUUCAUGUUGUGAGGCACAGAGGCCUUUCCACACUGAGGUUGCUCAAUUUGAUGAAAGAUCGUGCAGCUCGGGAGAUAAUACGAAAUUACUCUAGUACCUGUUACUUCUAAACAGCGUGCUCUAGUUUGCCAAAGUCUUGAGAACGUUGAUCCGGUCAUUAGUUCAGGUGAAAAUUGCGUGCCAUUUGAGACAAAACUAGGAAACAGUAAAUGAUUUAGGUGUGGGAGUGCGAGGGCAGGAAGUUGAGUUAGGUUCCCGGGUAGGUUUGAUGGCUUAGGAAGCAUUCAUAUUAUGUGAUCUUGAACGGCCCAGGAGUUUGCAAGCUGAACUCCGACAUCCAACUUUUCUCUAGAAACGAUAGCUUUAUGGUAGUAUGAUGCCGUUGAGCUGCAAAAGCUGGUGCAAAGUUUGAAAGGUAUUGUACACAGGCGUCACACACAAACAUCACCCAAAAGAUAGAAGUUUAAAAGAACACUAAACACAGGUGAAUGUAUUCAUUUGUAAACUUCUUCUCUUUUUUUUUCUUUUUUUUCUUUU